GAACGCACAUUGCGCCCCUUGGUAUUCCGAGGGGCAUGCCUGUUCGAGCGUCAUUAUAACCACUCAAGCCUCGGCUUGGUCUUGGGGUCCCGCGGUCUCGCGGCCCUUAAAAUCAGUGGCGGUGCCGUCUGGCUCUAAGCGUAGUAAUUCUCUCGCUAUAGGGUCCAGGUGGUGGCUUGCCAAAACCCCCCAUUUUUCUAUGGUUGACCUCGGAUCAGGUAGGGAUACCCGCUGAACUUAAG
rnacentral:misc_RNA from 1 species